ACGUGUCCUUCCCACCGUCACGAGGGUGAGCGACGGAGGGAACAUGCCUAACCUCUCGGUUAGCUCCCCACUUCCACGGGAAGAGCCCUCAGAAGCCGCUCAGUCCGCUGGGGAGGAAAGAAACAAGUCUGGCUCCUAAUCAGUGGCUCUUCCAAUCUUUUUUUUUUUUUUUUAAUAUUUUAUUUGUUUAUUAGACAGAGAUCUCAAGUAGGCAGAGAGAGAGGAGGAAGCAGGCUCCCUGCCAAGCAGAGAGCCUGAUGCGGGGCUCAAUCCGAGGACCCUGAGAUCAUGACCUGAGCUGAAGGCAGAGGCUUAACCCACUGAGCCACCCAGGCGGCCCCCCAAUCUUUUCAUCAAAGCCCCGACCUGUCAUUUUCUAUUGUCUGGAGUUAAGGAGUCAGCUUGAAGUGGGCCUUCUCUGGGUUCCCCUGGAUGGAGAGAAUUUGCUUCACUCUGGGGACUGCUCUGUCCUUGAUGACGUCAUUCUGUAUGUUUCUCAGCGCGCUCGCGAUGAUGACCAUCGUCACUUCGUAACUUCUGUACCAGGACACACAUCGUCGAGGACCCUGCUCGUGUUAGCUCCUCUGAUCUUCAGGAUUUUAUUUGUUUAUUCGAGAGAGAGAAAGAAACCGUAUGAGCCAGGCCAGAGGGAGAGAGGAAGCAGGCUCCCUGCCAAGCAAGGAGCCUGACGUCGGACUUGAUCCCAGGACCCGGAGAUCAUGGCCUGAGCCAAAGGCAGACGCUUAACCCACUCAGCCACCCAGGCAUCCCUCGGGUGUUGUAGCUCAGAGCGGUCAAGUCAUUCUCCCAGGGUCACACAGGCAAGAAGAAGGAGAAGCCGAGCUGAGAUGUGAAUCGAGGUGAGGUCCGGCGUCUGUGGUCCGUAACAACGGAUGGGGCGUACUGAGCAUUUACGAUGGGCUGGACACUGCUGGGAGCACAGCUUGCCUUGGAUUCCUUUGAUCCUAACCCAGGAAGGGUGCCCCCCAUUGGGCAGAUGCAGAGACUGAGUCACCCAGCGACAAGGAGUGGGACUGGACUUUGUACCUGAAGAGCCUGGCCCCCAAACCUCUUUCUCUCAAGAGGCAUCAGGAAGCCAAUAUCUCAGGACAGACCCUAAGCCUGCGACGCUGCCCCAUCUCAGAGUAAGGACUGGCUAUGUGGCCAAAAGGGCUCCAGGGCCCCAGGGCCAGGUUAAUAGCAGGAGCUGCUGUUCUCUUGAAGGAAAGCAGCUCUACCACCGGAGCUUGUGUUGGAAGAGGCCGACCUUGCUGCACAAGGACAUCCGAGCCAGGGCCGGAGCUGCUUCUCAAAGGAGUGUUGCUCUGAGAAGCCCCUUCUGGAAACGCUUGUCCUGCAUGCCCCGUUCUCACGAGGGGCCAUCAGGCCUUGAAGAGCUGAAUCAGAAACUUCACUUAACACUGCAGAAAGCAGAGCCAUGUGGGUCUGUCCGGGUUCAACUUCCACUGCAUUUGUGCUCUGGCCGCAAAAUCCCAAGGCAGAAACCACUGGCCUCUCCGUGCAGGAAGAGGAAGUACAAGGGCUGGGAAGUCAGCAGAGCUUGGACCGCAGCAGAGGUAAAUGGUGGUGACCAAGACCAUGUGGCCUGCGAGACCUAAAGUAUGUAAUGUGUGGCCCGUUGCAGAAAAAGGUUGCUGAUCCUUGCACUAGACCAUGGGCUCUCUAAGGGCAAACUCUGCUUCUUGUCCAGUGACGUAUAGCCGUCAGCAUCCAGUGCCAAGCCUGGAAAACAGAAGAGACUUAAUGAACAUUGACAAGUGGGCGGACAGUGUCCAUCUCCUCUGCGAGAACAUCCGUGCCAAGAGAGGAAGAACUUUGUGCUGUUCAUCCUUCCCGCACCGCACGUAGAACCAUGGCCAGCACCUUAGGAUCUGGAGGAUUUGGGCAAACGGUGACCUGAUGCGGUCCUUCGAUUUCAAAGAUGAAGAAAGCGUGCAGGGAGGCGAUUGCAGGGAUGCGGUUUGAGGGCGACAGCGAGCCUAGGAAUGUUUUAAGCAGAAGAGGCCUCUAGACAUAUCGUCAUUUCCGGAUCCAUACUAUCCAGGCCAAAUAAAGAAUGAGCUGAAUGGGCGUGGCCAGAGGCAGACCAGCAGGAGCGGGAAAACAAGCACGUACGGCCAGAGCAAAGCACUGGAACGAGAAGCCUAGAGACAGCCUCUCUGUGCCCCACGCCCUGGGAGAUACGGACGGAAAUGUCAAGCUUUCUUGUCUGUACUAGACUCAGAUGCAUGUACUGGGGCUAGACCUGCCCCAGGAGGAAAGGAGGUGCACAUGACCAAUGGAGGUCAGGAAGGAUUCCCAGUUAUCGUCCAGCCAGCUGAUAAAACAUGUUACAUCUGAUCUCAACAGGUCUUGGCAAGCGUGGGAGGGUGGAGAGAGGACUUCCCUCCAACAUGGCAGAAUGGAGCACUGUCCAUCUGGAUGCAGUUAUCUUCCUGACCUCAGUUCCUAUGGCUUUCCCACUUGUUCACUCAGCCCUAAAAUCUCCUCAUAAUCACCAGGAAUGUCCCUGCCUCAGGGCCUUUGCACUCGCUAGUGCCUCUGCCUGGAAUGCUCUUUUCCUAGUUCCCCGCGUGACUCAUUCCCUUUAAGUGUUUAGUCCCAGGUCACAUAUAUCCUGAGCCAUAUUUUCAUACACACACACAUAUAUACACACACACAAACAUACACACACACACACUUUCCUCCUCUGUCUGCUCUCUUCUCUGCCCUUCUUCCAUAGCAUCCACAGACCACCAGAAACACAUGCGUUUUAC